rnacentral:rRNA from 1 species
UACAGAGGGUGCAAGCGUUAAUCGGAAUUACUGGGCGUAAAGCGUGCGUAGGUGGUUCGUUAAGUCAGGUGUGAAAGCCCGGGGCUCAACCUCGGAACUGCAUUUGAUACUGGCGAACUAGAGUGUGGUAGAGGGUAGUGGAAUUCCCGGUGUAGCGGUGAAAUGCGUAGAUAUCGGGAGGAACAUCAGUGGCGAAGGCGGCUACCUGGACCAACACUGACACUGAGGCACGAAAGCGUGGGUAGCAAACAGG